AUUUUAUAUAACAGAUGAACUAGUUUCUUGAACAAGUUCAAUGGCACAUAAAAGCAGGGGGAGGAGAAGAUGGACUAGGAUAGAGUAAAUAAACUUAGAAUAUAUAACAAUUCAAUGCAAUAUGUGGACUUGGAGAUCCUAAUAAAAAUAUGUUAACCAUAAAAAGGAAUUUCUUGAGACAACUGAAGAAUUUGAUUUGUACCAGGUACUGGGUAAAUCCAAAGAUUAUUUUUGAUUUUGUUAAGUGAGAUCAUGUCAUUGUGGUUAUAUAUUUUUUAAAAACUCAGAGAUAACUCUGAAAUAUGUGGAAGUUAAAUGAAGUGUAUUAUUUGAUUUUUUUUAAUUCAGCAAAAAUAAAAUAAAAUGGAAGAAAAAAAGAUGUAAGAAAAUUAAAAAUAAAUAAAUAAAGCAACUUUGGUAAAAUCUUUAUCCCAACUAUUGACUCUAGAUGGUCCUUGAGGAAUUACCACACUGUCUUCCACAAUGGUUGAACUAAUUUACAUUCCCACCCACUGCAUAAGAGUGUUUCUGUUUCUCCACAUCCUCUCCAGCAUCGGUUGUCUCCAGAUUUUUAAAUGAUCGCCAUUCUAACUAGCGUGAGUAUAAUGAGAAGCACUCCAAGUGAGAAGAUAAGCGGUACAAAACCCAAUUCCCCAGGGAACACCAGCAUUCAAGGACACAGAGAGGAAAUGGAACAUGAGGCAGAUCCUUACUUCCCAAGGAGAAAGGGAAGACAAGCUGAGAGGCAUCAGAAAGUCCAAAGGAGGUGAGCAUUUCAGGGAGGAGUGAGCAAGUGUCAUAUGCAGUUGCAAGAUUAAGCAAAUACAAACAGUAAAGGAUUUUUAAAGUAGCAGGUAGGUAUACAGCAAAAUACAACUUCUCACAUUCUAUUUUCUCAGAUGAGGAAUUGUUGUGUUUUAAAAUAAAAAAUUAUGAUUACUACUAAGUUACUGUAAGUUCCAUUUCUCCAAACCAGUAAAAGGCAAGAGAGCAAAUAUGUGUUGG
rnacentral:lncRNA from 1 species